rnacentral:rRNA from 1 species
UACAGAGGGUGCAAGCGUUGUUCGGAAUUACUGGGCGUAAAGGGCGCGUAGGCGGCCUGCUAAGUCGGAUGUGAAAUCCCUCGGCUCAACCGAGGAACUGCAUCCGAUACUGGCGGGCUUGAAUCCGGGAGAGGGAUGUGGAAUUCCAGGUGUAGCGGUGAAAUGCGUAGAUAUCUGGAGGAACACCGGUGGCGAAGGCGGUCACCUGGACGGAUACUGACGCUGAGGCGCGACAGCGUGGGGAGCAAACAGG